AUCAUCUCUCAAUGCGAAUCAAACUAGCUAUUAGGCUAGCUGAGAUACAACCAUGCCAAUGUCUGUGUAUGGUGAAGGGUAUGUGAUGAUGGGGUGUGGGGGCUAUUUCAAU